rnacentral:rRNA from 1 species
UACGUAGGGGCCGAGCGUUGUCCGGAAUUACUGGGCGUAAAGCGCGCGCAGGCGGCUGGUCAAGCCCGACGUGAAAGCCCCCGGCUCAACCGGGGAGGGUCGUCGGGGACUGAUCGGCUUGAGGGCGGUAGGGGCCGGUGGAAUUCCCGGUGUAGUGGUGAAAUGCGUUGAUAUCGGAAGGAACGCCGGUGGCGAAAGCGCUCUGCUGGACCUCUUCUGACGCUGAGGCGCGAAAGCCAGGGGAGCAAACGGG